CUAGGAUAGCAUGGUUGAUCAUGCGGGAAGCUGUAACUGGUGCGAAUGCUCGUUUAUUUAAUGACUGCAUGCAAUGGCGUUAUAUAGCGCCCAGUGAUAAACAUGUCGCGGAACGUUUUGAGCGGUGUGGAAUUAAUAUGACUGUUGUUAUUUGGCAUGCGUGCAAUUAGUGUCCUUGAGUACUAGAUUUGAUAAUACAAGAGUUUUGUAUAGGUCUGUUCUAUGUUGACAUGCUGCCGUUUGAAUUGAGGAUCUUUG